rnacentral:rRNA from 1 species
GGGCGUAAAGGGCGUGUAGGCGGUCUUUCAAGUCCGAUGCUAAAGACUGGGGCUCAACCCCAGGGGUGCGUUGGAUACUGUGAGGCUAGACGGUCGGAGGGGGUAGCGGAAUUUCCGGAGUAGCGGUGAAAUGCGCAGAUACCGGAAGGAACGCCAAUAGCGAAGGCAGCUACCUGGACGACUUGUGACGCUGAGGCGCGAAAGCGUGGGGAGCAAACCGGAUUAGAUACCCGGGUAGUCCACGCCCUAAACCAUGAGUGCUGGGUGUCCGGCUUCUGCUGGGUGCCGUAGCUAACGCGCUAAGCACUCCGCCUGGGAAGUACGCACGCAAGUGUGAAACUCAAAGGAAUUGACGGGGGCCCGCACAAGCGGUGGAGCAUGUGGUUUAAUUCGAAGCGACGCGAAGAACCUUACCAGGCCUUGACAUGCCCGGAACCCCUCUGAAAGGAGGGGGUGCCCGCAAGGGAGCCGGGACACAGGUGCUGCAUGGCCGUCGUCAGCUCGUGUCGUGAGAUGUUGGGUUAAGUCCCGCAACGAGCGCAACCCCUAUCCCUAGUUGCCAGCAGUUCGGCUGGGCACUCUAUGGAGACUGCCUGCGAAAGCAGGAGGAAGGCGGGGAUGACGUCUGGUCCGCAUGGCCCUUACGGCCUGGGCGACACACGUGCUACAAUGCCAAGGACAGAGCGCUGCUACCUCGCGAGAGGACGCCAAUCGCAAAAACCUUGGCUCAGUUCGGAUUGGAGUCUGCAACUCGACUCCAUGAAGCCGGAAUCG